AGUGAACGCUGGCGGUAGGCCUAACACAUGCAAGUCGAACGGCAGCACAGUAAGAGCUUGCUCUUACGGGUGGCGAGUGGCGGACGGGUGAGGAAUACAUCGGAAUCUACUUUUUCGUGGGGGAUAACGUAGGGAAACUUACGCUAAUACCGCAUACGACCUCCGUGUGAAAGCAGGGGAUCUUCGGACCUUUCGCGAUUGAAUGAGCCUAUGUCGGAUUAGCUAGUUGGCUGGGUAAAGGCCCACCAAGGCGACGAUCCGUAGCUGGUCUGAGAGGAUGAUCAGCCACACUGGAACUGAGACACGGUCCAGACUCCUACGGGAGGCAGCAGUGGGGAAUAUUGGAGAAUGGGGGAAAGCCUGAUCCAGCCAUACCGCGUGGGUGAAGAAGGCCUUCGGGUUGUAAAGCCCUUUUGUUGGGAAAGAAAAGCAGCAGGUUAAUACCCCGCUGUUCUGACGGUACCCAAAGAAUAAGCACCGGCUAACUUCGUG
rnacentral:rRNA from 1 species